rnacentral:tRNA from 1 species
GUUGUCGUGGACGAGUGGUUAAGGCGAUGAACUAGAAAUCUUUUGGGAUCUUCCCGCGCAGGUUCGAAUCCUGCCGUUAUCG